rnacentral:rRNA from 1 species
UACGUAGGGUGCAAGCGUUUGUCCGGAAUUAUUGGGCGUAAAGAGCUCGUAGGCGGUCUGUCGCGUCGGUCGUGAAAACUUGGGGCUUAACCCUGAGCUUGCGGUCGAUACGGGCAUGACUGGAGUUCGGCAGGGGAGACUGGAAUUCCUGGUGUAGCGGUGAAAUGCGCAGAUAUCAGGAGGAACACCGGUGGCGAAGGCGGGUCUCUGGGCAUGAUCUGACGCUGAGGAGCGAAAGCGUGGGGAGCAAACAGG